rnacentral:hammerhead_ribozyme from 1 species
AUCUGAUGACGAGUCCUAGAUAGAACGAAACGCGUGUCCUGGAU